GGGAUAGCUCAGUUGGUAGAGCGACUGAUUCGUAAUCAGUAGAUCGCACAUUAUUUCACCCCA
rnacentral:tRNA from 1 species